AUUGAACGCUGGCGGCAGGCUUAACACAUGCAAGUCGAGCGGAGCGAGGGUGCUUGCACCUUAGCCUAGCGGCGGACGGGUGAGUAAUGCUUAGGAAUCUGCCUAUUAGUGGGGGACAACAUUCCGAAAGGAAUGCUAAUACCGCAUACGCCCUACGGGGGAAAGCAGGGGAUCUUCGGACCUUGCGCUAAUAGAUGAGCCUAAGUCGGAGUAGCUAGUUGGUGGGGUGAAGGCCUACCAAGGCGACGAUCUGUAGCGGGUCUGAGAGGAUGAUCCGCCACACUGGGACUGAGACACGGCCCAGACUCCUACGGGAGGCAGCAGUGGGGAAUAUUGGACAAUGGGCGGAAGCCUGAUCCAGCCAUGCCGCGUGUGUGAAGAAGGCCUUUUGGUUGUAAAGCACUUUAAGCGAGGAGGAGGCUACUUAGAUUAAUACUCUGGGAUAGUGGACGUUACUCGCAGAAUAAGCACCGGCUAACUCUGUGCCAGCCGCCGCCGUAAAAC
rnacentral:rRNA from 1 species